rnacentral:snRNA from 1 species
ACAUGUGAGGGCAGUCUGGCUGUGACAUCUGCCACCCCAUUGAUCUCCACAGUUGAUUCAGCUGAUCUGGCUGGCUAGGCGGGUGUCCCCUUCCUCCCUCACCACUACAUGUGCGCCCUUCCCCAAGCUGUGCAGUCCAAGAGGAUGACCUUCCCAGAAUAGAGGAGGACCAGUCUUUGGUCAAGGAAAUACGAGUAGCUGUGCUCCCCUACUAAAGCCUCCAAAUAGGAGGGUCUUGUGCAUGCUAAGCAAGUGCUCUU